CUUUUUUUCAAAGGUUUUAAAGUGUUGAUGGGCGUUUUGUUUCUGUUGACAGCGCUGCAGUGAAGGAGGAGCCCAGCGACUCGUCCUCGAAGAGGAAACGGGAGGAGAGCGACGGCGAGGUGGCGACGGCGCCCAACGCGUCGUCUGCAGAGGAGCUGAAGAAGAAGAAGAA